rnacentral:rRNA from 1 species
UACGGGGGGGGCAAGCGUUGUUCGGAAUUACUGGGCGUAAAGGGUGCGUAGGCGGUCUAUUAAGUCAGUGCUGAAAUAUCCCGGCUUAACCGGGAGGGUGGCAUUGAUACUGAUGGACUUGAGUAAAGUUGAGGUUGGCGGAAUUGACGGUGUAGCGGUGAAAUGCUUAGAUAUCGUCAAGAACACCUAUUGCGAAGGCAGCUAACUAAGCUUAAACUGACGCUGAGGCACGAAAGUGUGGGGAUCAAACAGG